rnacentral:rRNA from 1 species
CCGUUGUAGCAAUACGAUGGAAAGUCUAGUGGCGAACGGGUGCUUAACACGUGGGCAACCUGCCAAAAAGUGGGGGAUAGCUCGCCGAAAGGCGAAUUAAUACCGCAUGUGAUUAGAGAGGACAUCCUUUCGAAAUUAAAGUCGGGGCAACCUGACGCUUCUUGUGGGGCCCGCGGCCUAUCAGCUAGUUGGUGAGGUAACGGCUCACCAAGGCUUUGACGGGUAGCUGGUCUGAGAGGACGACCAGCCACACUGGGACUGAGACACGGCCCAGACACCUACGGGUGGCAGCAGUCGAGAAUUUUUGACAAUGGGGGAAACCCUGAUCGAGCGACGCCGCGUGGAGGAUGAAGGUCUUCGGAUUGUAAACUCCUGUCAUUGGGGAACAAGGUGCAUACGUUAACUGCGUGUGCAUUGAUAGUACCCGAAGAGGAAGAGACGGCUAACUCUGUGCCAGCAGCCGCGGUAAUACAGAGGUCUCAAGCGUUGUUCGGAUUCAUUGGGCGUAAAGGGUGCGUAGGCGGCGCGGUAAGUCGGGUGUGAAAUCUCGGGGCUUAACUCCGAAACUGCAUUCGAUACUGCCGUGCUUGAGGACUGGAGAGGAGACUGGAAUUUACGGUGUAGCGGUGAAAUGCGUAGAUAUCGUAAGGAAGACCAGUGGCGAAGGCGGGUCUCUGGACAGUUCCUGACGCUGAGGCACGAAGGUCAGGGGAGCAAACGGGAUUAGAUACCCCGGUAGUCCUGACAGUAAACGGUGCACGUUUGGUGUGGGAGGAUUCGACCCCUUCUGCGCCGGAGCUAACGCGUUAAACGUGCCGCCUGGGGAGUACGGUCGCAAGAUUAAAACUCAAAGAAAUUGACGGGGGCCCGCACAAGCGGUGGAGUAUGUGGCUCAAUUCGAUGCAACGCGAAGAACCUUACCAGGCCUUGACAUGCAUCUCUAAGUUGGUGAAAGCCAGCGAGUCCCGCAAGGGACAAUUUGCACAGGUGCUGCAUGGCUGUCGUCAGCUCGUGUCGUGAGAUGUUGGGUUAAGUCCCGCAACGAGCGCAACCCUCGUCCUAUGUUGCCAGCGGAUAAUGCCGGGGACUCAUAGGAGACUGCCGGGGUCAACUCGGAGGAAGGUGGGGAUGACGUCAAGUCAUCAUGCCCCUUAUGUCUUGGGCUUCACACAUGCUACAAUGGCCGGUACAAAGGGCUGCUAAACCGCAAGGUGGAGCGAAUCCCAAAAAGCCGGUCUCAGUUCGGAUUGGGGUCUGCAACUCGACCCCAUGAAGUCGGAGUCGCUAGUAAUCGCAGAUCAGCAACGCUGCA